rnacentral:rRNA from 1 species
UACGUAGGGUGCAAGCGUUGUUCGGAAUCAUUGGGCGUAAAGAGCGUGUAGGCGGCUUACCAAGUCGAUUGUGAAAGCCCUCGGCUCAACCGGGGAAGUGCAGUCGAAACUGGUAGGCUCGAGAACGGUAGAGGAAGGUGGAAUUCCAAGUGUAGAGGUGAAAUUCGUAGAUAUUUGGAGGAAUACCUGUGGCGAAGGCGGCCUUCUGGGCCGUUUCUGACGCUGAGACGCGAAAGCGUGGGGAGCAAACAGG